GACGAACGCUGGCGGCGUGCUUAACACAUGCAAGUCGAACGGAAAGGCCCUGCUUUUGUGGGGUGCUCGAGUGGCGAACGGGUGAGUAACACGUGAGUAACCUGCCCUUGACUUUGGGAUAACUUCAGGAAACUGGGGCUAAUACCGGAUAGGAGCUCCUGCUGCAUGGUGGGGGUUGGAAAGUUUCGGCGGUUGGGGAUGGACUCGCGGCUUAUCAGCUUGUUGGUGGGGUAGUGGCUUACCAAGGCUUUGACGGGUAGCCGGCCUGAGAGGGUGACCGGCCACCUUGGGCCUGAGAUACGGACCAGACUCCUACGGGAGGCAGCAGUGGGGAAUAUUGCACAAUGGGCGGAAGCCUGAUGCAGCAACGCCGCGUGCGGGAUAACGGCCUUCGGGUUGUAAACCGCUUUCGCCUGUGACGAAGCGUGAGUGACGGUAAUGGGUAAAGAAGCACCGGCUAACUACGUG
rnacentral:rRNA from 1 species